rnacentral:rRNA from 1 species
AACCCGGGGAACUGAAACAUCUAAGUACCCGGAGGAAGAGAAAGAAAAAUCGAUUUCCUAAGUAGCGGCGAGCGAACGGGAAAGAGCCCAAACCAGAAACUUGUUUCUGGGGUUGUGGAUAGAUCAUGAAAGAAGAGGUAUCUUAAUCGAAGAGGGCUGGAACGCCCUACCAUAGAAGGUAAUAGUCCUGUAGAUAAAAAGAGAAAACUUCGAGAUCUAAUCCAGAGUACCACGAGACACGUGAAACCUUGUGGG